UGGGGAAUAUUGCACAAUGGGCGCAAGCCUGAUGCAGCCAUGCCGCGUGUGUGAAGAAGGCCUUCGGGUUGUAAAGCACUUUCAGCGAGGAGGAAGGUGGUGAGCUUAAUACGCUCAUCAAUUGACGUUACUCGCAGAAGAAGCACCGGCUAACUCCGUGCCAGCAGCCGCGGUAAUACGGAGGGUGCAAGCGUUAAUCGGAAUUACUGGGCGUAAAGCGCACGCAGGCGGUUUGUUAAGUCAGAUGUGAAAUCCCCGGGCUCAACCUGGGAACUGCAUUUGAAACUGGCAAGCUAGAGUCUCGUAGAGGGGGGUAGAAUUCCAGGUGUAGCGGUGAAAUGCGUAGAGAUCUGGAGGAAUACCGGUGGCGAAGGCGGCCCCCCUGGGCGAAGACUGACGCUCAGGUGCGAAAGCGUGGGGCAGCAAACAGGAUUAGAUACCCUGGCAGUCCACGCUGUAAACGAUGUCGAUUUGGAGGUUGUGCCCUUGAGGCGUGGCUUCCGGAGCUAACGCGUUAAAUCGACCGCCUGGGGAGUACGGCCGCAAGGUUAAAACUUAAAUGAAUUG
rnacentral:rRNA from 1 species